rnacentral:rRNA from 1 species
UGGGGAAUAUUGCACAAUGGGCGCAAGCCUGAUGCAGCCAUGCCGCGUGUGUGAAGAAGGCCUUCGGGUUGUAAAGCACUUUCAGCGAGGAGGAAGGUGGUGAACUUAAUACGUUCAUCAAUUGACGUUACUCGCAGAAGAAGCACCGGCUAACUCCGUGCCAGCAGCCGCGGUAAUACGGAGGGUGCAAGCGCUAAUCGGAAUUACUGGGCGUAAAGCGCACGCAGGCGGUUUGUUAAGUCAGAUGUGAAAUCCCCGGGCUCAACCUGGGAACUGCAUUUGAAACUGGCAAGCUAGAGUCUCGUAGAGGGGGGUAGAAUUCCAGGUGUAGCGGUGAAAUGCGUAGAGAUCUGGAGGAAUACCGGUGGCGAAGGCGGCCCCCCUGGACGAAGACUGACGCUCAGGUGCGAAAGCGUGGGGAGCAAACAGGAUUAGAUACCCUGGUAGUCCACGCUGUAAAACGAUGUCGAUUUGGAGGUUGUGCCCUUGAGGCGUGGCUUCCGGAGCUAACGCGUUAAAUCGACCGCCUGGGGAGUACGGCCGCAAGGUUAAAACUCAAAGGAAUUGACGGGGUC